rnacentral:rRNA from 1 species
UACAGAGGGUGCAAGCGUUGUUCGGAAUUAUUGGGCGUAAAGCGCGUGUAGGCGGCUUUGCAAGUCGGGUGUGAAAGCCCUCGGCUCAACCGAGGAAGUGCGCCCGAAACUGCAGAGCUUGAGUACCGGAGAGGAUGGCGGAAUUCCCCAAGUAGAGGUGAAAUUCGUAGAUAUGGGGAGGAACACCGGUGGCGAAGGCGGCCAUCUGGACGGAUACUGACGCUGAGGCGCGAAAGCUAGGGGAGCAAACGGG